rnacentral:rRNA from 1 species
AAUGAACGUUGGCGGCGUGGAUUAGGCAUGCAAGUCGCGCGACAAGCUUCCCUUCGGGGAGGUGGAGGAGCGGCGAAAGGGAGAGUAACGCGUGGAUCACCUACCCCCAGGUUCGGGAUAAUGGCCGAAAGCCAGGUAAUACCGAAUAAUAUUUCCGAAUCAAAGCUUCGGCGCCUGAGGACGGGUCCGCGUCCUAUUAGCUUGUUGGUGAGGUAACGGCUCACCAAGGCUUAGAUGGGUACCGGGUGUGAGAGCAUGGCCCGGCUCACUGGGACUGAGACACUGCCCAGACACCUACGGGUGGCUGCAGUCGAGAAUCUUCGGCAAUGGACGCAAGUCUGACCGAGCGACGCCGCGUGCGGGAUGAAGGCCUUCGGGUUGUAAACCGCUGUCAGAGAGGCGGAAAGCACUUCGGUGUUUGACCUAUUCUCAGAGGAAGUACGGGCUAAGUUCGUG